AGUAUUUCUCUAUUUACCAAGAGAAAUAAAAAUACACAGCCUACUUCUAGAGAGGUGCAAAAAUAAAUCCUCUUUUGUAACCCAGAACUCAUUGUUCAGUAUGAGUUUUGAUACAGAUAAGAAGGAACAUG